rnacentral:rRNA from 1 species
CAGAACUUUCCAGAGAUGGAGGUGCCUUCGGGAACUGUGAGACAGGUGCUGCAUGGCUGUCGUCAGCUCGUGUUGUGAAAUGUUGGGUUAAGUCCCGCAACGAGCGCAACCCUUAUCCUUUGUUGCCAGCGGUUAGGCCGGGAACUCAAAGGAGACUGCCAGUGAUAAACUGGAGGAAGGUGGGGAUGACGUCAAGUCAUCAUGGCCCUUACGACCAGGGCUACACACGUGCUACAAUGGCGCAUACAAAGAGAAGCAAUCUCGCGAGAGCAGCGGACCUCAUAAAGUGCGUCGUAGUCCGGAUUGGAGUCUGCAACUCGACUCCAUGAAGUCGGAAUCGCUAGUAAUCGUGAAUCAGAAUGUCACGGUGAAUACGUUCCCGGGCCUUGUACA